rnacentral:snRNA from 1 species
GUGCUUGCUUCGGCAGCACAUAUACUAAAAUUGGAAUGAUACAGAGAAGAUUAGCAUGGCCCCUGCACAAGGAUGACAUGCAAAUUUCUGAAGUGUUCCAUAUUUCA